rnacentral:rRNA from 1 species
ACAUGCAAGUCGAACGGUAGCAGGCCUUCGGGUGCUGACGAGUGGCGGACGGGUGAGUAACGCGUAGGAAUCUGCCCUGUAGUGGGGGACAACGUGGGGAAACUCACGCUAAUACCGCAUACGCCCUGAGGGGGAAAGCGGGGGACCUUCGGGCCUCGCGCUAUGGGAUGAGCCUGCGUGGGAUUAGCUAGUUGGUAGGGUAAAGGCCUACCAAGGCGACGAUCCCUAGCCGGCCUGAGAGGGUGGCCGGCCACACUGGGACUGAGACACGGCCCAGACUCCUACGGGAGGCAGCAGUGGGGAAUAUUGGACAAUGGGCGCAAGCCUGAUCCAGCAAUGCCGCGUGUGUGAAGAAGGCCUGAGGGUUGUAAAGCACUUUCAGUGGGGAGGAAAAAGCGAAGGUUAAUACCCUUGGUCUUGACAUUACCCAGAGAAGAAGCACCGGCUAACUCCGUGCCAGCAGCCGCGGUAAUACGGAGGGUGCGAGCGUUAAUCGGAAUUACUGGGCGUAAAGCGUGCGUAGGCGGCUAUUUAAGUCAGAUGUGAAAGCCCCGGGCUUAACCUGGGAACGGCAUUUGAUACUGGGUAGCUAGAGUUUGGUAGAGGGGAGUGGAAUUUCAGGUGUAGCGGUGAAAUGCGUAGAGAUCUGAAGGAACACCAGUGGCGAAGGCGGCUCCCUGGACCAGAACUGACGCUGAGGCACGAAAGCGUGGGUAGCAAACAGGAUUAGAUACCCUGGUAGUCCACGCCGUAAACGAUG